GACGAACGCUGGCGGCGUGCCUAAUACAUGCAAGUAGAACGCUGAAGGAGGAGCUUGCUUCUCUGGAUGAGUUGCGAACGGGUGAGUAACGCGUAGGUAACCUGCCUGGUAGCGGGGGAUAACUAUUGGAAACGAUAGCUAAUACCGCAUAAGAGUAGAUGUUGCAUGACAUUUGCUUAAAAGGUGCAAUUGCAUCACUACCAGAUGGACCUGCGUUGUAUUAGCUAGUUGGUGGGGUAACGGCUCACCAAGGCGACGAUACAUAGCCGACCUGAGAGGGGGAUCGGCCACACUGGGACUGGGACACGGCCCAGACUCCUACGGGAGGCAGCAGUAGGGAAUCUUCGGCAAUGGACGGAAGUCUGACCGAGCAACGCCGCGUGAGUGAAGAAGGUUUUCGGAUCGUAAAGCUCUGUUGUAAGAGAAGAACGAGUGUGAGAGUGGAAAGUUCACACUGUGACGGUAUCUUACCAGAAAGGGACGGCUAACUACGUG
rnacentral:rRNA from 1 species